rnacentral:rRNA from 1 species
CGCGUCAGAAUGCGAACUGCAGGACACAUGAACACCGACAAGUUGAACGCAUAUUGCACAUCGUACAACAGUACGAUGUACACAUUUUUGAGUGCCUAUAUUUACCCAUUAAACUUUACGCUGCUACAGCGUAUGCGGAGUGACGUUUUCCCGCCUUCAGUGUGCGAUAAAACGUUCAAGAUAGUCAAACACAGGACGUGCUUGCGCGCGACCCGUGGUUGAUGAGUACACCCCACUUGCUGGACCUGGCUUCCACUUGCGCUGUACUUCAUCAUCAACACCCACUUUGACCAACCCACUCGACUCCUAUGUAGGCCUCAAAUAAUGUGUGAC